UACUCAGCUGACAGGAAUCUGGUUGGAGUUGUUGUGUCCCAGCCUUCCCAAGCUUCCAGGUGUCCCAGAAACCCAGGAAAUCGAGACUCAUGACUCCCAGAGAGGAUGGCAUCUAGAAGACGAUCAAGAGUGGAAUCUACAGUCCAUGGGCCCUGACUUCUUGCCUUCCUCUCAAAUAGACUCUGCAGCCAGCCAUCUAUGCAGCGCCCCAGUGGCUUUGAAAUGCAACAGAAACCAUCACCCCUGGACCAUGGGCUCCAUGCCAGUGGGCAAAGCACAGCCUGGGAAGAAUUGGUUUGCAGCCAGGCAGUCCUGCAUCCAGUCUUGACUUUGGCACUUGUGAUAUGACUUGCACAGGUCCCGCUCCGGGCCCUCCUCCCAGAAGCCUCCCCUGACUAGUCCAGCUCACCGUGACUCUUCUGAACUCACGGCGUUUACUGCCAAGGCUAUUACGUUGGCGCUCGCUCAUGUCAUUAUUAGGAAAUAUGCAUUUUUACUG
rnacentral:sRNA from 1 species